UACGUAGGUCCCGAGCGUUGUCCGGAUUUAUUGGGCGUAAAGCGAGCGCAGGUGGUUUAUUAAGUCUGGUGUAAAAGGCAGUGGCUCAACUAUUGUAUGCAUUGGAAACUGGUAGACUUGAGUGCAGGAGAGGAGAGUGGAAUUCCAUGUGUAGCGGUGAAAUGCGUAGAUAUAUGGAGGAACACCGGUGGCGAAAGCGGCUCUCUGGCCUGUAACUGACACUGAGGCUCGAAAGCGUGGAGAGCAAACAGG
rnacentral:rRNA from 1 species